rnacentral:tRNA from 1 species
AAGAAAGUGGCAGAGCGGUUAUGUUAUUGGCUUGAAACCAAUUUAUGGGGGUUCGACUCCUCCCUUUCUGG